GAUGAACGCUGGCGGCGUGCCUAAUACAUGCAAGUCGAGCGAACGGACGAGAAGCUUGCUUCUCUGAUGUUAGCGGCGGACGGGUGAGUAACACGUGGAUAACCUACCUAUAAGACUGGGAUAACUUCGGGAAACCGGAGCUAAUACCGGAUAAUAUUUUGAACCGCAUGGUUCAAAAGUGAAAGACGGUCUUGCUGUCACUUAUAGAUGGAUCCGCGCUGCAUUAGCUAGUUGGUAAGGUAACGGCUUACCAAGGCAACGAUGCAUAGCCGACCUGAGAGGGUGAUCGGCCACACUGGAACUGAGACACGGUCCAGACUCCUACGGGAGGCAGCAGUAGGGAAUCUUCCGCAAUGGGCGAAAGCCUGACGGAGCAACGCCGCGUGAGUGAUGAAGGUCUUCGGAUCGUAAAACUCUGUUAUUAGGGAAGAACAUAUGUGUAAGUAACUGUGCACAUCUUGACGGUACCUAAUCAGAAAGCCACGGCUAACUACGUGCCAGCAGCCGCGGUAAUACGUAGGUGGCAAGCGUUAUCCGGAAUUAUUGGGCGUAAAGCGCGCGUAGGCGGUUUUUUAAGUCUGAUGUGAAAGCCCACGGCUCACCCGUGGAGGGUCAUUGGAAACUGGAAAACUUGAGUGCAGAAGAGGAAAGUGGAAUUCCAUGUGUAGCGGUGAAAUGCGCAGAGAUAUGGAGGAACACCAGUGGCGAAGGCGACUUUCUGGUCUGUAACUGACGCUGAUGUGCGAAAGCGUGGGGAUCAAACAGGAUUAGAUACCCUGGUAGUCCACGCCGUAAACGAUGAGUGCUAAGUGUUAGGGGGUUUCCGCCCCUUAGUGCUGCAGCUAACGCAUUAAGCACUCCGCCUGGGGAGUACGACCGCAAGGUUGAAACUCAAAGGAAUUGACGGGGACCCGCACAAGCGGUGGAGCAUGUGGUUUAAUUCGAAGCAACGCGAAGAACCUUACCAAAUCUUGACAUCCUUUGACAACUCUAGAGAUAGAGCCUUCCCCUUCGGGGGACAAAGUGACAGGUGGUGCAUGGUUGUCGUCAGCUCGUGUCGUGAGAUGUUGGGUUAAGUCCCGCAACGAGCGCAACCCUUAAGCUUAGUUGCCAUCAUUAAGUUGGGCACUCUAAGUUGACUGCCGGUGACAAACCGGAGGAAGGUGGGGAUGACGUCAAAUCAUCAUGCCCCUUAUGAUUUGGGCUACACACGUGCUACGAUGGACAAUACAAAGGGCAGCGAAACCGCGAGGUCAAGCAAAUCCCAUAAAGUUGUUCUCAGUUCGGAUUGUAGUCUGCAACUCGACUACAUGAAGCUGGAAUCGCUAGUAAUCGUAGAUCAGCAUGCUACGGUGAAUACGUUCCCGGGUCU
rnacentral:rRNA from 1 species